rnacentral:rRNA from 1 species
AUUGAACGCUGGCGGCAUGCCUUACACAUGCAAGUCGAACGGUAGCAGGCCUUCGGGUGCCGACGAGUGGCGAACGGGUGAGUAAUGUAUCGGAACGUACCUUUCAGUGGGGGAUAACGUAGCGAAAGUUACGCUAAUACCGCAUAUUCUGUGAGCAGGAAAGCAGGGGAUCGCAAGACCUUGCGCUGAUUGAGCGGCCGAUGUCAGAUUAGCUAGUUGGUGAGGUAAAGGCUCACCAAGGCGACGAUCUGUAGCGGGUCUGAGAGGAUGAUCCGCCACACUGGAACUGAGGCACGGUCCAGACUCCUACGGGAGGCAGCAGUGGGGAAUUUUGGACAAUGGGGGCAACCCUAAUCCAGCCAUGCCGCGUGAGUGAAGAAGGCCUUCGGGUUGUAAAGCUCUUUCGGCCGGGAAGAAAUCGCACGGGCUAAUACCCUGUGUGGAUGACGGUACCGGAAUAAGAAGCACCGGCUAACUACGUGCCAGCAGCAGCCGCCGUAA